UGCCUUUGGGGCCGGGUGAAAGUCCCGACCGGCGGUGACAGUCCGCGAGCGGCCUUUGUAAAAAGGGCGCAGGAUCCGGUGCAAUUCCGGAACCGACAGUAGAGUCUGGAUGGGAAAAGGC
rnacentral:ncRNA from 1 species